CACGUAGGCACCAAGCGUUGUCCGGAUUUAUUGGGCGUAAAGAGCUCGUAGGCGGUUCGGUAAGUCGGGUGUGAAAACUCUGGGCUCAACCCAGAGCCGCCACCCGAUACUGCUGUGACUAGAGUCCGGUAGGGGAGUGGGGAAUUCCUGGUGUAGCGGUGAAAUGCGCAGAUAUCAGGAGGAACACCAGCGGCGAAGGCGGCGCUCUGGGCCGGUACUGACACUGAGGAGCGAAAGCGUGGGUAGCAAACAGG
rnacentral:rRNA from 1 species